rnacentral:rRNA from 1 species
GACGAACGCUGGCGGCGUGCCUAAUACAUGCAAGUCGAACGCAGUGGGGACGGGUGAGUAACACGUGGGUAACCUCCCAUCAGAGGGGAUAACACUUGGAAACAGGUGCUAAACCGAUAUUGAUGUAUGGACCCGCGGUGCAUUAGCUAGUGGGGGAGGUAACGGCUCACCAAGGCCACGAUGCAUAGCCGAACUGAGAGGGUGAUCGGCCAAACGGGGACGGAGACACGGCCCAGGCUCCUAGGGGAGGCAGCAGUAGGGAAUCUUCGGAAAGGGACGAAAGUCGGACCGAGCAACGCCGCGUGAGUGAAGAAGGUUUUCGGAUCGUAAAACUCUGUUGUUAGAGAAGCGGUAUCUAACCAGAAAGCCACGGCUAACUACGUGCCAGCAGCCGCGGUAAUU